rnacentral:rRNA from 1 species
AACGUAGGGGACAAGCGUUAUCCGGAUUUACUGGGCGUAAAGCGCCCGUAGGCGGCCUGACAAGUUGGACGUGAAAGCUCCUGGCUUAACUGGGAGAGGCCGUUCAAAACUGUCAAGCUAGAGUCUGGAAGAGGAGAGCGGAAUUCCCGGUGUAGUGGUGGAAUGCGUAGAGAUCGGGAGGAACACCAGUGGCGAAGGCAGGUCUCUGGGCAUUAACUGACGCUGAGGAGCGAAAGCAUGGGGAGCGAACAGG